AGCAAUGGUUCUUCAGAGGACUUGGAGAAUCUGGACACCGAAUGUUCCGAAGGAGUAAAUGGAUUGGGCCUGAUCUGGUAUUGCUUAGAUCCCAAACCAGAUGCUCAACAGGAUGCCGAGAGAGAAGGGAUGCUUAUUCUGUAGGCCGAAGGCUGGUGCAACUGGCUCUGGCAUGGGAAUGGCCGAGUCCUUCUGGGUCCAUGUGUCUGAAAACACCCUGCCCUGCACCUAGGUGCUAAGUUCCCAGCUGGGUUCCGACAUCCCUGUGGAGAAACGAGCCGGUAGCAGAUCAUACCCUCCCAGGCUGGGGCUAGAGAAGGCUCUGAAGGCAAAUUUACAUUAGGACUCACCUACAGAAUUUGUCGUCCCUCUGCUGUGAGACUCCCCCGACACACAGACAAAUGGAGACUGAAAAGCGUGUUGGAUGGAGUCAUCUGGCUCGGCCUGGCCACAACUCUUUAUCCAUUUAGAUUCAGGAACAGUUAAGGCAUCUGUUGGUUGUUUCUAAAGCACAGGGAUGCUCUCUGGACUGAGCGCAGAUGCCAAAAGCCAGCCUGGGGAGGUUGCUGGAAGGACCCCCCCAGCCAGACGUGGCAGCAGAGAACACACCUGGAUAAAUGAGGUGGUACAGAAAAGGGAGGGGAACCUGGGACUGUCCAGUCAGGAGUCAGGGCUGGGACUGGUAGCAAGGAAGGAUUCACCUGAGGAGGUGACAUCAGUGAGGAGGAAACUACCUUGCAGGUUAGCUAGAAGCAGUGAUAGCUCCACCUCAAGUAAACAUGGUCAGAGAGACCCUCUCCCAUGGAUGAUGGCUCUGGGGAAGAAUAGGCGGCUUAGAAGUAGCGUGGUGCAUAGAAGGGCACAGCCAGUGCAGGUCAUUGCAUGCGCGAGGAUUGGACAGCUCAGGAGACAAGGAGGGCUGGGAUAGGCUGGGAGAGUGGUCGCUGAGUGACUGAUGCAGAGAAGGGACCUGCUGAAGUCAUAGCAGGGAGCAGAGCAUGUAACCCACAGGGAGGAGCAACCAGUAGCUGAGCAGGGGGGACAGAAAGUGAGUGGCAAAUGGAUGGAGGGAGUUUUCUACAGG